AUGGAGGCGCAGGAUGACUGCGGAAAGUGGCGCCAAAUCCCGGCGUUCGGCGAUUGGAACAUGUGGGAAGAGAUGCCCGUCACCCAGUACUUCGAGCCGGCGGCCACCUUCUUCUUCACGGCGCAGGCAGGGGAGGACGACGUCGACCUCUUCAAGGUGCCCCACUUCGCCGCCAACCCCUACACCUACAAGAAGUGCGUCGUCCGAGUAAAGAAGAGGGAGGAGAACGAGAAGCCGAACGCCAACGCCAACGCCGGUGCUAUGUCCGGGAGGAGGAAGAAGGGGGGCAGGAAGCAGCAGCAGCAGAACCACCAGCAAGGGAAGAAGGAGCAGCAGCAACAGAGGAGGAAGAAGCCCAAGGCCAAGGCGGCGGCGGCGGCGGCGGUGGACGAGGACCUCUACAAGAUCUCCCCCAACGUGAUCUGCAAGGUGCAGAAGAAGAAGUUGUUGAGGAACCUGCUGGGAGGGUGCCUGGGCCUCAACUGCAUCGCCUGA
rnacentral:rRNA from 1 species